AAAACCUUUGCUUAUAAAAACUCUCACACUCAUAUCCUCUUCCUCGAGAAAUCAAAACUCUCGAUUCUUCUUCUUCUUCUUCGAUACUACAAAAUAUAUCCAUCUUUCAUCUUUUUCCUUUUUAAAUUCUCUGUGAAUUUCUUACCGAGAAGAUCACCGAUGAUGAUCCAUUCCAACAUUCUCUCUUCAAAGAAGUUCAUUCUUCAUCUCAGAACCUAUCCGUAAGAUUUGAUUCGAGAAAAGCAUCUCUUCUUAUCUCGUGAUUUCAGUUCGGGUCUCUCUUAAUUUCACCGUUCAUGUUGAAUGUUGAUCUGUUACCAUGGAUGCUUCUUACGCGAUUCUCACCGGAGAAUUUUGGCGACUGAGAACGAGGACUAUGUAGCAGAUUCGAAUUUCGAUGGAGUCGCCUGAAGAUGCAUGAAGAAGAAGAUCAAAACAGAGUUUCGUGGCUUUCUUCGACAAGGAGACGGUGCAGUGAAGGUUAACUAAUGGGCCUUGGCAAUUGGGCUUUUCGUACUCCUCACUACCCAAAUCCAAACCAGAUCAGAGGGGUUAGUUAAUUACCAUACAAGAACUCAUUUUCUAUUGGAGUGAUUGACUCUAUUUGGUUAAAGACCAAAGCACUCAGAUUUGUCUGGAAUUCGGAUAGGUGAUCCAAAAGAGGUAUCAGCUUGAUUGGAUCAUUGAAACAAGAGUCAUGUCUCUAUGUUUAUGGAGUUGCAGGAGAUGAAGCUUAUCAAGGAUGGUAAAAGAAUGUUGGAAUCAUUCUCUUCUCCCAAAAGAUUGAACCAGAGAUUGAGAAGCCUAGCAGCAAAUACGAGUUAAAGGCGAGCCAAAGAAGAAAGAGUAAGCCAUGUUUAAUCUCGAUUGUGACUCUUCAACAUCUCUUCUUCGAUUGUGUUUUUUCUAAUGAGGCUUCGUCUUUCUUCACAUCUAGAGCCCAUGUUUCUCCUCCAAUUCAUUUGGAACAUGGUCUUAGAUGGAUGAAAGACCCAUGCCGCAACAAAAACACUUCUCUGAUUCUCAAGAUUAUCUUCCAAGCUUCAAUAUACUCGAUUUGGAAGGAAAUAAAUUCUAGACUUCACUCUCAGUCUUCUCGUCCCCCGACAAGUUUGAUCUUGGACAUUUAGAAUUCUCUCAGGUGUAAGCUAGACCCUCUAUCUAGGGUGCAGCGUUCCGACUCCGUCUCUCUUUUAUCUACUUGGUUUGAAAUUUUUUAACCUUAGUUUGGUAAGUAGGUAAGAGGUCUGUAAGCUUUAUUCUGUUUGUUUUCGUGAUUCCUCUGUAACCUUUUAUUAUUAAUGGAAAAAAAAAAUGUUUAAUCUCGAGAAGAAGCUGAAGGAUAGCACAAGAGGUUUUAAGACCCGUAUGGUUUA